rnacentral:antisense_RNA from 1 species
CUUGAUCGAACCCAGCCACAACGGCCGGUCGCGAUCCUGGCCGUAGGUAGCCAGCACAGCUUGGGCUUC